rnacentral:rRNA from 1 species
UAAAGUUGUUGCGGUUAAAAAGCUCGUAGUCUGAGGUGUGUCUCGGACGGUCGGUUCGCCGCUUGUCGGUGCUCAACUGGCCGGUCCGGACGUCCUGCCGGUGGGGCUGUAAAAGGCUCCGUUAUCCUUCUUUGGUCCUCUUCAUCGAGUGCCUUGGUGGGCCGGCACGUUUACUUUGAACAAAUUAGAGUGCUCAAAGCAGGCCGUUGGUCGCCUGAAUACUGUGUGCAUGGAAUAAUGGAAUAGGACCUCGGUUCCAUUUUGUUGGUUUUCAGAACUCGAGGUAAUGAUUAAUAGGUACGGACGGGGGCAUUCGUAUUGCGACGUUAGAGGUGAAAUUCUUGGAUCGUCGCAAGACGAACCGAUGCGAAAGCAUUUGCCAAGAACGUUUUCGUUGAUCAAGAACGAAAGUUAGAGGUUCGAAGGCGAUCAGAUACCGCCCUAGUUCUAACCAUAAACGAUGCCAGCUAGCCAUCCGCCGAAGUUCCUUAUAUGACUCGGCGGGCAGCUUCCGGGAAACCAAAGCUCUUGGGUUCCGGGGGAAGUAUGGUU